rnacentral:rRNA from 1 species
CAUAGGUUAAUGAGGCGAACCGGGGGAACUGAAACAUCUAAGUACCCCGAGGAAAAGAAAUCAACCGAGAUUCCCCCAGUAGCGGCGAGCGAACGGGGAGGAGCCCAGAGCCUGAAUCAGUGUGUGUGUUAGUGGAAGCGUCUGGAAAGGCGCGCGAUACAGGGUGACAGCCCCGUACACAAAAAUGCACAUGCUGUGAGCUCGAUGAGUAGGGCGGGACACGUGGUAUCCUGUCUGAAUAUGGGGGGACCAUCCUCCAAGGCUAAAUACUCCUGACUGACCGAUAGUGAACCAGUACCGUGAGGGAAAGGCGAAAAGAACCCCGGCGAGGGGAGUGAAAAAGAACCUGAAACCGUGUACGUACAAGCAGUGGGAGCCUCUUAAUGGGGUGACUGCGUACCUUUUGUAUAAUGGGUCAGCGACUUAUAUUCUGUAGCAAGGUUAACCGAAUAGGGGAGCCGAAGGGAAACCGAGUCUUAACUGGGCGUUAAGUUGCAGGGUAUAGACCCGAAACCCGGUGAUCUAGCCAUGGGCAGGUUGAAGGUUGGGUAACACUAACUGGAGGACCGAACCGACUAAUGUUGAAAAAUUAGCGGAUGACUUGUGGCUGGGGGUGAAAGGCCAAUCAAACCGGGAGAUAGCUGGUUCUCCCCGAAAGCUAUUUAGGUAGCGCCUCGUGAAUUCAUCUCCGGGGGUAGAGCACUGUUUCGGCAAGGGGGUCAUCCCGACUUACCAACCCGAUGCAAACUGCGAAUACCGGAGAAUGUUAUCACGGGAGACACACGGCGGGUGCUAACGUCCGUCGUGAAGAGGGAAACAACCCAGACCGCCAGCUAAGGUCCCAAAGUCAUGGUUAAGUGGGAAACGAUGUGGGAAGGCCCAGACAGCCAGGAUGUUGGCUUAGAAGCAGCCAUCAUUUAAAGAAAGCGUAAUAGCUCACUGGUCGAGUCGGCCUGCGCGGAAGAUGUAACGGGGCUAAACCAUGCACCGAAGCUGCGGCAGCGACACUAUGUGUUGUUGGGUAGGGGAGCGUUCUGUAAGCCUGUGAAGGUGGCCUGUGAGGGUUGCUGGAGGUAUCAGAAGUGCGAAUGCUGACAUAAGUAACGAUAAAGCGGGUGAAAAGCCCGCUCGCCGGAAGACCAAGGGUUCCUGUCCAACGUUAAUCGGGGCAGGGUGAGUCGACCCCUAAGGCGAGGCCGAAAGGCGUAGUCGAUGGGAAACAGGUUAA